AUGAUAUUUAUAUUAUUUAUACCUCUAACUGGAACGUACCUUGAGCAUAGAUGCUGUGACCCGAAAGAUGGUGAACUAUACUUGAUCAGGUUGAAGUCAGGGGAAACCCUGAUGGAAGACCGAAACAGUUGUGACGUGCAAAUCGAUUGUCAGAAUUGAGUAUAGGGGCGAAAGACCAAUCGAACCAUCUAGUAGCUGGUUCCUUCCGAAGUUUCCCUCAGGAUAGCUGGUGCAUUUAAAUGUUAUAUAAAAUAAUCUUAUCUGGUAAAGCGAAUGAUUAGAGGCAUUAGGGUCGAAACGAUCUUAACCUAUUCUCAAACUUUAAAUGGGUAAGAACCUUAACUUUCUUGAUAUGAAGUUUAAGGUUAUGAUAUAUUGUGCCCAGUGGGCCACUUUUGGUAAGCAGAACUGGCGCUGUGGGAUGAACCAAACGUAAUGUUACGGUGCCCAAAUUAACAACUCAUACAGAAACCAUGAAAGGCGUUGGUUGCUUAAAACAGCAGGACGGUGAUCAUGGAAGUCGAAAUCCGCUAAGGAGUGUGUAACAACUCACCUGCCGAAGCAACUAGCCCUUAAAAUGGAUGGCGCUUAAGUUGUAUACCUAUACAUUACCGCUAAAGUAGAUGAUUUAUAUUAUUUAUAAUAUAAAUUUUGAAACUUUAGUGAGUAGGAAGGUACAAUGGUGUGCUUAGAAGUGUUUGGCGUAAGCCUGCAUGGAGCCGCCAUUGGUACAGAUCUUGGUGGUAGUAGCAAAUAAUCGAAUGAGACCUUGGAGGACUGAAGUGGAGAAGGGUUUCGUGUGAACAGUGGUUGAUCACGAGUUAGUCGGUCCUAAGUUCAAGGCGAAAGCCGAAAAUUUUCAAGUUUUAAAAAUGUCAAAUGAAAUAAUAAAUAAUAAAACACUUGAAUAAUUUUGAACGAAAGGGAAUACGGUUCCAAUUCCGUAACCUGUUGAGUAUCCGUUUGUUAUUAAAUAUGGGCCUCGUGCUCAUCCUGGCAACAGGAACGACCAUAAAGAAGCCGUCGAGAGGUAUCGGAAGAGUUUUCUUUUCUGUUUUAUAGCCGUAC
rnacentral:ncRNA from 1 species